rnacentral:rRNA from 1 species
AGAGUUUGAUCAUGGCUCAGAGCGAACGCUGGCGGCAGGCUUAACACAUGCAAGUCGAGCGGGCGUAGCAAUACGUCAGCGGCAGACGGGUGAGUAACGCGUGGGAACAUACCUUUUGGUUCGGAACAACACAGGGAAACUUGUGCUAAUACCGGAUAAGCCCUUACGGGGAAAGAUUUAUCGCCGAAAGAUUGGCCCGCGUCUGAUUAGCUAGUUGGUGAGGUAACGGCUCACCAAGGCGACGAUCAGUAGCUGGUCUGAGAGGAUGAUCAGCCACAUUGGGACUGAGACACGGCCCAAACUCCUACGGGAGGCAGCAGUGGGGAAUAUUGGACAAUGGGCGCAAGCCUGAUCCAGCCAUGCCGCGUGAGUGAUGAAGGCCCUAGGGUUGUAAAGCUCUUUUGUGCGGGAAGAUAAUGACGGUACCGCAAGAAUAAGCCCCGGCUAACUUCGUGCCAGCAGCCGCGGUAAUACGAAGGGGGCUAGCGUUGCUCGGAAUCACUGGGCGUAAAGGGUGCGUAGGCGGGUCUUUAAGUCAGGGGUGAAAUCCUGGAGCUCAACUCCAGAACUGCCUUUGAUACUGAAGAUCUUGAGUUCGGGAGAGGUGAGUGGAACUGCGAGUGUAGAGGUGAAAUUCGUAGAUAUUCGCAAGAACACCAGUGGCGAAGGNNGGCUCACUGGCCCGAUACUGACGCUGAGGCACGAAAGCGUGGGGAGCAAACAGGAUUAGAUACCCUAGUAGUCC